rnacentral:rRNA from 1 species
AUUGAACGCUGGCGGCAGGCCUAACACAUGCAAGUCGAACGAGUGGCGGACGGGUGAGUAAUGUCUGGGAAACUGCCUGAUGGAGGGGGAUAACUACUGGAAACGGUAGCUAAUACCGCAUACCAUCAGAUGUGCCCAGAUGGGAGUAGCUUUUUGGUGGGGUAACGGCUCACCAAGGCGACGAUCCCUAGCUGGUCUGAGAGGUUGACCGGCAACACGGGAACUGAGACACGGUCCAGCUUCCUACGGAAGGCAGCAGGGGGGAAUAUUGCACAAUGGGCGCAAGCCUGAUGCAGACAUGCCGCGUGUAUGAAGAAGGCCUUCGGUUUGUAAAGUACUUUCAGCGGGGAGGCGUUACCCGAAGAAGAAGCAACGGCUAACUCCGUGCCAGCAGCCGCGGUAAUAC